rnacentral:rRNA from 1 species
CACCAGGUUGAUUCUGCCUGACGUGGAUGCUAGUCUCUGAGGUUAAGCCAUGCAUGUUUAUGAAGCUCGUGUGGGUGGAUUGAUAGACGGCUCAGUAAUACUGCGAUGAUUUGAUCGUGCUAGCCUGGGGUAACUACGGGAAACUGUAGGUAGAGUGGGCGUGGUUGUAUUUGUUGCGGGACGAAUGGGGAGACCCGUUCGUGUCGUGGGGGGUAUGAUGUGGCGAGUAAGUUGCAGACCUAUCAACUGGUAGUUAGGGUAAUGGCCUAACUAGGUGAUGACGGGAGACGGGGGAUUGGGGUUUGAUUCCGGAGAGGGAGCCUGAGAGAUGGCUACUACGUCCAAGGAUGGCAGCAGGCGCGAAACUUGCCUAAUCUAUUUUUAGGAGGCAGUUAUGGGACGUGAUAUAUGAGAUGGAUUGUAAAGAGAUCUGUUAUGAUUGGAGGGCAAGUCGGGUGCCAGCAGCCGCGGUAAUACCUGCUCCGAUAGUGUCUAUGGUGAAUGCUGCAGUUAAAAGGUCCGUAGUCAGGCGACUGGAUGUAUGUUUGAUUUAUGGAUUGUUUGUGGAUGAGAUUGGAUGUAUGUUUUGUGUUGACGCAACAGAUGAGGGAUAUGGGAUAGUUGGGCGAGAGGUGAAAUGUGAUGACCCUGACUGGACGAACUGAAGCGAAAGCGAUAUUCUUGGAUGGGUGAGUGGAUCAAGGACGAAGGCUGGAGGAUCGAAAUCGAUUAGAUACCGUUUUAGUUCCAGCAGUAAACGAUGCCGACUCUGUGGUACCUGUGAGGUAAGUGCGGAUGAGAAAUUAGUUAGUAUGUGGGCUCUGGGGAUAGUAUGUUCGCAAGGAUGAAACUUAAAGAGAUU